AGCUUGCACACAUUCUCGUUGAGAAGAACGUGGAAACGAUGAAAAUUAUUCAAUUGACUACAUCAAAGGAGUUGGGUCAACAUUUACGGGGCACUAGAAGACGUUAUAAAAUCUGAUUCGAUUCGUAAGAAUAUACAUUUUAGCGUCAAUUACAGUCACCUCCAUUGAGAUAUCUAACAAAUACACUAGGAUACCCUACUUUUUCUAAAAUAGCAUUGACAUUCCUGUCAGACAAUAUACACCGUCAAGAAAUGUGGGAUUGCCAAUUAGCCCUUACAUUAAAUGGUUGAUUGUUUGUUUGGACCCUUUCAUCGUCGGGUUUUUUAAAUGAUGGAAUAAAAAUAUUUUCACUAUGUGUACCUAAAAAAUCACUACACUAAAUUAUUCCCCUUCCAACUGGAGAUUGGGAUGGGAGGUGGCAGUUGGUGGUGCUACAUGGUCAGUGGCGACUCAAGUAUUUUUUUGUCAAUGGUGACGUGUAUUUAGAACUAUAUUAUAUAUUCUUUGGAAUUUUAAACGUUAAUAUCUGUCACAGAUUUCUAACAAAUAACUUAUAACUUACCUAAUCAUAAUCAAGAAAUGCAUUUAAGAAUUUAUUUCUUGUGUUACAAUUGGUUUUCUUCAAAAAAAAUUGGUUAUUGCAAACUUUUUAUAUUGGUUCCAAUAGUCUUUUAAACAAUUUAUCCAAUUUGCAUUCUAAUAUACAUCAGAUUCUAAUAAAGAUAAACAGAGUAUUUGAAUCUAUCUCAUAGCUCAUCUUUUUUACAGUGCACCGUUUGCUAAUGGGGGUUGUACAGAUGAGGAAUUGACCGUGUAAAUCUGUCACACAACCAAAGAUAGUGAGCCUAUUUCAGAAAAAUCAGGGAGCUCAGUGGUAUUUUUCAGAUACGUGUGAAGUGUAAUUUAAUAAACCAAAUUUUUGCAAUAAAGGUUGGGUCAAAAAUUCAACAAGUCAAAAGAAUGGCCAAUACUCGAUAACAGAGAGGAAUCAAAGUCAAAGGCGCAAGGAACGGAGUUGGUGGGUCGCACACCUCUUCUCUCUGUAUAUAUGCCCCCCAUAGAGUCGUUUCCUCUCAACAACCCAAAAGAAAUCGCUUCCUCCCCUCUCCUCACUCUAGCUGCUUCUCUCUCUUCUCUCUCCUCUCAAUUGAGGGGGUACCUGGUGAUCUUGGAUGCAAUGGUGAAACAUCCCAGGUUUCACUCUCACUGCCCUCACAACUGCUCGGUGUAACUACCACCCCCCACCUUCCAACUCCGACGACCACCACCACAACGCGCACAGCAGUGAUCGUGAGAACACGCGCUGGUUCAGGACCGACCCGGAUGCCCCUUUUUGGACCAACCUAAUUUGGUGUUUGGAGGCUACAGAUUUUAUCGUUUUAUUCUUUGGUCUUAUAAAGACACCCCACGUAGAGAAGAACUAAAGGAAAUUAUUUGGUAGUUUUUUUUUUUUGGAGUGAAUUUGUCAUUUUUCGGAACUCUUGAGUCAUUUCUAAAAGAGAAUUCAAAAUUCCAAUAACAAUAUUAGGUUGUCCAAAAAAUCCGAGAACGUGAACCGAACCGAACGCUAGGCCAACCGUGUAUUUUGGAUUGGUUCAUGUUUUAAUAGUUAGGUUCUGGUUUUUAAAAAUUAGAACCGUAAAUUUGGUCGGUUACCGAUUUUUAUUUUUUAACCGUGGUUUCGAACCGAACCGAACCGAAAUCUAUUAUAUCUUAUAUAUAUAUAUCGGGUAUAUAUUUAUUUAGACAUUAUUCACAACUACACGUGAGUACUUUUAGUUUUUCUCCCAACAAAAAUUUUUCACUUCCCAUGGAUAUUGGAUUACGCUAUCCAUUUUCCAUCAAAACAUUUCAUAUUCUUUCUUAUCCAGAUUUUAUCAGUUACUUUUUUUUUUGUUAUCCAUUAAGAUUCUUUUUCAGUUUUUUAUUUAUUGUCUUUUUUUGUUGUUAUCCUUAUGAAUUCUAAUUUUUAUGAGUUUAUUAUUGCAAUAUUAGGGUUGGUUUGAUUGAGUCAUAUCAUUUAAUGGAGUCAAUUAUGAACUAUUUUAAUACUAUUUUUGGUUCAUGACUUGAACAUAUGAAUUUAUGGGUUAUUGUUAAAUAAUAAUUUGUUGAAUUUUAUAUUUUAUAAAACUAUUUGAAUGUUAAUUGGAUUGAACCGGAACCAAAUCGGAACCGAACCGAUAAGGCGAUCGGUUGUGGUUGGUUCUAUACUUGUAAUGGUUAGUUCCGUUUCUUAUUUUUUUCAGAACCGUUAAACAUGGAUUGGUUUUACUAAUUCUUAUGGAACCGGACAUCCGGACCAUGGACACCCUAACAAUAAUUACAAUUUGCCCCUUAUACAUGACAGGUUCAAGUAUCUAUAUUUUUUUAUGUAAUUUUAAAAAAAAAAAGAUAGUUUUUUGUUGUUGCUCAAAACUAAUAUUGACACACACGAUCAAAAUUUCGUGGUUCGGCCAACGAUGCUUACGUCAACGGGAGAAAAUCAACAACUACUAUCAACGAAUGGAUUACACGGAGCAGACUCACCUCUCAUUCACACCCUCUCUCACAAUUCUCUCUGCUGUCUUGGCCUCUCAAUCUCACCGCCAGCAAUCUGCUCUCAAACCCACAACACAACGCACGUAGAAAAUCUAAGCACCUACCAUCCCUUUUAUAACCAAAAGGAAGGAAGGUGGUACACUCCUACCAGAAUACCUAAUCAUUAUCUAAUCUAUCUAGGAAGACAAAAGAUAACGACUCUCAAGAGUCUAGAUAACUCGAGAGUUUCACCGCACAUGGACCUCCAUAUGAACUCCAAUCGGGCUGGACUGGCUACUGACUUGGACCAUCCAAUUGGACUUGGAUUCAUUCAAAUGGGCUGGACUCAAUAAUCUCCCCCCUCCAGCCCACUGGAGGUAAUCCUAUGUCUUCAGUUAUCCUUUCCUGACAGCUUCUGAUCCAACUCCCCCAUAAGACUGCCAAGACAGCACCGAGAUACCUUAGCCUCAUCAACGGGCUAUCCAUUCCUACCGAAUGUUAUGCACCUCCACACCGAAAGUGCUGCACCUCUUACCGAGGUGCCCUGCCACCCUUCCCACUGGGUGCCCUCUCCUGGUGCGUGGGGUGCUGGGUUCUCCCCGUGCCGUGACAGGCGAGGGACCUUCUUGGCGGCGUGGCUGAAAAAACAUUAAACUCUUUAGAUGCGAUGUGUAAAAAUGACAAUUCCUCCAAAACUUAUACAUAUAUAAAACAAGACUUGAAUUAUAACAGUAAAUGUGAAGGAAAAAAUCAUCAAGCAUAAUAUAGGCUAAUAUCACAGUAUAUAUAUUAUUGCACCCGUAUAUAUGUUUUUUCUUAUAGCGAUUGAUAUAUCAUCCGAUCAGUUACCUCUCCCCAUAGAAGGCAUAAAGAGAGGGAGAGAGGAUUAUUAAUCAUAGAACACAUGUUGAUAAAACAAUCGAAGCCUAAUAGUACUCGACUCGUAAUCGACUUGUUAAAACCUUGCUUAAGAUUAGUUCAUUUGGGGCUCGAAUAUGGAAGAGAUUAAUUCAUGUACUCUAUUUUUAAAACUCGUUAAGUUUUUAAAUUAAAUUUGAAUAAUCUACUAAUAUUCGGCUCGAUAAAUUUAUAAUCUUUAAAAAAUUCAAUCUACUUGAGAUCGAUCGUGAUUAACUUGAUUAAAAUUCGUUUGAGAUCGGUUCGCUUGAUAAAUAAAUCAAAUCUAAAUUUAUUUUUAAAACUUGUUAAAUUUUUAAAUCAAUAUAGUAAUUUACUAUUGGAGUCGUUUAUGAGCUUGCACACAUUCUCGUUGAGAAGAACGUGGAAACGAUGAAAAUUAUUCAAUUGACUACAUCAAAGGAGUUGGGUCAACAUUUACGGGGCACAAGAAGAGACUUAUAUAAAAGCUGAGUCAGAUUCGUAAGAAUAUACAUUUUAGCGUCAAUUACACUCACCUCCAUUGAGAUAUCUAACAAAUACACUAGGAUACCCUUCUUUUUCUAAAAUAGCAUUGACAUCUCCUGUCAGACAUAUACACCGUCAAGAAAUUGUGGGAUUGCCAUAUUACCCUUACAAUUAAAUGGUUGAUUGUUGACUCUGAGUCGUUUUUUUUAAAUGAUGAGAAUAAAAAUAUUUUACCACU
rnacentral:lncRNA from 1 species